GAAGCGGCAACAGCUCAAAUUUGAAAUCUGGCCCCUGCGGGGCCCGAGUUGUAAUUUGUAGAGGGUGCUUCGGGCGCGAUGCCGGUCUAAGUUCCUUGGAACAGGACGUCGGAGAGGGUGAGAAUCCCGUAGGCGGCCGGCGAUCAAGCCCGUGCGAAGCCCCUUCGACGAGUCGAGUUGUUUGGGAAUGCAGCUCCAAAUGGGUGGUAAAUUUCAUCUAAAGCUAAAUACCGGCCAGAGACCGAUAGCGGACAAGUAGAGUGAUCGAAAGAUGAAAAGCACUUUGGAAAGAGAGUCAAACAGUACGUGAAAUUGUUGAAAGGGAAGCGCUUGCAAUCAGACCGGUCCGGAGGCGAUCAGCCGCUGCUCGUCAGCGGUGCACUCGCCUGCGAUCCGGCCAGCAUCGGUUUGGGCGGCGGGAGAAAAGCGCCGGGAACGUAGCUCCUCGCGGGGAGUCUUAUAGCCCGGGGCGCAAUGCCGCCCGCCCGGACCGAGGACCGCGCUUCGGCCAGGAUGCUGGCGUAAUGGUUGCAAGCG
rnacentral:rRNA from 1 species